AGCGAACGCUGGCGGCAGGCCUAACACAUGCAAGUCGAACGAACUCUUCGGAGUUAGUGGCGGACGGGUGAGUAACACGUGGGAACGUGCCUUUAGGUUCGGAAUAACUCAGGGAAACUUGUGCUAAUACCGAAUGUGCCCUUCGGGGGAAAGAUUUAUCGCCUUUAGAGCGGCCCGCGUCUGAUUAACUAGUUGGUGAGGUAAAGGCUCACCAAGGCGACGAUCAGUAGCUGGUCUGAGAGGAUGAUCAGCCACAUUGGGACUGAGACACGGCCCAAACUCCUACGGGAGGCAGCAGUGGGGAAUCUUGCGCAAUGGGCGAAAGCCUGACGCAGCCAUGCCGCGUGAAUGAUGAAGGUCUUAGGAUUGUGAAAUUCUUUCACCGGGGACGAUAAUGACGGUACCCGGAGAAGAAGCCCCGGCUAACUUCGUGCCAGCAGCCGCGGUAA
rnacentral:rRNA from 1 species